rnacentral:rRNA from 1 species
AACGAGCGCAACCCUGACCUUAGUUGCCAGCAUUCAGUUGGGCACUCUAAGGUGACUGCCGGCUAAAAAGUCGGAGGAAGGUGGGGAUGACGUCAAAUCAUCAUGCCCCUUAUGACCUGGGCUACACACGUGCUACAAUGGGCGGUACAAAGGGUCGCGAACCCGCGAGGGGGAGCCAAUCCCAAAAAGCCGCUCUCAGUUCGGAUUGCAGGCUGCAACUCGCCUGCAUGAAGCCGGAAUCGCUAGUAAUCGCGGAUCAAGCAUGCCGCGGUCGAAUACGUUCCGGGCCUU